AUACGUAACAGUCACAUGGAUUCAGCUGAGUUAACUCGGUCACAGCCGUCGAGGUCGGCUGCGCGCGCGCAUAGUGCUCGUUCAUAGAUUAAUACACAAUUACCUUAAAUUAUGUUUCAAUAAAUCAAAUUAUUUUUCUCAAUACCUACAUGUUAACUUUUUUAGUUAUGUGAUGAUAAAGUAAAGCAAAAUUUAUAAAAAACGUUUUUUUAAUAUAUCAAUGGAGACAUCGAUAUUCAUAAUAUUAAUUUAUUCAUGUUUAUUAUUAGUUUCGAACGCGCAAGAUUGCAAAGUUGGAGGUAAAAGGUGUGUCGACCAUGAGCAAUGCUGUGGCGGAUGCUGCUUCUAUGGAGAAUGCAUAGACACAUACAGAUCGUGCCUGUCUCCGUACGACGUUUGCCACGAGCACUCAUGCCGAGGCGAAGAGAACUGCGUAGUCUACGUACCGCCUCAGUGCCCCGGCUGCGAUCCCUUACCGCUGUGUAUGAUUACAGAAGAUUAACCCCCAUAUAGCUUCGUUAGACUACUCUAUCUCAUAUCAGACCCCCUAAAUAAAUGGCAACUCAAUGCAUUGAUGGAAUGGUGAUCGCUAGCGAAUCCGUAAGAUUGAAUAAGAUAGUAAUCUUCGUUGUCUCGUUCCAACUCCUGGAGCAGCCACCCUAGACAAAUUACAAACGAAUCUAUCAAUAGAAUCAUUAUCGCUAGCAAUUCCAUGAGAUUGAAAGAGAUGGCGACUUGCGCUGUCGCUGUCUUAUUCUUUCUCGUGAACCCAACCGAAGAGGCUGGCAUCUAAAUAUCUUACUAGACAAGUAGCAAAGUAUUCUAUCGAUAAUCCACAAGAUAAAAUGAGUCGGCGACAUAAGUUUGUCGUGCGAUCUCUAACCGAAACGAUUCUAUCGACGAUUAAUGAUGAGGAGAAGGACCUUCUAGACAAGUGAUUAACUAAUCUAACGAUAGACACGUUAACGCUACCACAAGUAUGAGAUAGGACGAAAUAGCGGCGUAUUAUAAGAACACACAAGAAACUAUGCUGACGAAUAUAAUGCGCAAGAUAAUUGCCAAAUAUUUUUAUAAAAAUUUUCGUAUAAAACAAAAGAUGUUAAUUGUUAACAUCCCCUUUUUAGAAUGUAAUUAUCUAUACGAUUGUAAAAAAAUAUAGUUAAAUUUACCUUUUUAUUUGAAAAUUAUCAUUUAGAAAGGUUCAUCAUUUUUCAAUAGAAUUUCGAUCUUGCAAUUAAAUUAAUUAAAGUAAUUCAUAGUUAAAGAUAUACUACGUACAAAUGUAAUGAAACGACAUAUUUGUAAACUUAAUUUGUUAGGUUUUAUUAAGCGUAAUUUAUUGUUAACAACUUCAUAAGUACACAUUACAUUUACAACAACCGUUUUGUUCUCAUACCCUGUAUUAAGAAAAACUCAGCAAUGAACAUCGAACAAUCCAGAACACCCAAACCCUUGCCACUUUAGAAAGGUUCGUUUCCUAAAUUGGCCCGAUCGAGAAUUGAACCCAGGACCUCAUUACGUAAAUCAAUAUGUCUAACGUUACUCUGCGAAAAUCGUCAACAACAAUAUCAAGUAUACUCGACAAUGAAGUUGGUAAAAAAUAUACGUGAAUAUAUAUAUAUUAGUGAUUGCUACUUUUGCAAUAAAAUAUUAUGAAUAUUAUUCCUCUAAGUCUGUAAAUAACCAUGAAAACUUAGUACUAUCUCUUAGAAUAAACAUUGUUUUUUGUUACGAGAACAAAAAACAAUGUUUAUUCUUAGAGAUAUCCUUUAUUUUAUAUAAGACACGUAAGGACCUAAUGUAGUUAUUGCCCUAAACAGCCAUACAAAAAAAAAAAAAAUCAAUAAUAACUUUAAACUACCUAACUAAACAAGUGAAACGUUAAAGACAGAAUAUUAACAUUUUAUAUUUUACUCGUAAUAAAAGGUAACAGCCAGCGCUGUAGUAUCAUUUACAUAUAUAUAUGUAUAUAUAAAGCAAUGUAAAACGACCUCCCACUAGAUGUAGUGACGAUCUCAAAUGCAUUGCAGGGAGUCAGUGGGCGCAGAUGGCUGAGGACCGUGUGUUAUAGCAGUCUAUGGGGGAGGCCUAUGUUCAGUAGUAAACAGACAAUGGCUAAGAUGAAGAUAUAUAUAUAUAAGCAUAAAAAUAAAUAGAAUGGGUAAAAACAACACUCAUUUACUUUGCUUGGUGAAAAUAGAAAGACUUACCAAAAUAUACACUUCUUCCCUUCAAACCCCACAUUGGUUGGGAGGGUUGUCAAAAAUGUAUUCGCAUUUAUCAAAUAUUUUUACAACAUGUAUGUGCGAGUGAGCGACACGUAUGCUCUUACUGCGAUGUCAGUUGCUUGCGAACCCUGAAUUAUUAGGACGCAAGGUGGACGUGAACUGUCAGCUUACCAAUAUAAUUAUUAUUAUAACGAGAAUGUCAGUUCUGCUUAAAUAUUUAUUCUUAUUAUUUUAGUUUAUUAUUCUUAAUUUCAUUAAUAGACCUAUACCUUUUAUAUAUCCAUACUUUUAAACGAUUACUAACACUUGAAAAAGUUUAAAUGUAUUUUAAAAAUGUGUCUGGGCUGGUAGAAACUAUUUGUACGUAAGUAGUAAAAUUGUAUUUAUGUUAUGAAGUAUCCAUUUGUUUGUGUACAUAUUGUUAAUCUUUAUAAUCUGUAUCAUUUUUUAAAGUAACAAUAAAAAGUUUUCAUUCAUUUAUUAUAAAUACUAGCGGCCCGUCCCAACUUCGCACGGGUGGACAUUUUUACAUUUUAAACAGUGGCCAUUAAGGCUGCACAAGUGACGGAAGCUUAAAAUGGAGUAACUUCUCCCGUUUUCCUAACAUUUCCAUUUACUGCUCUGCUCCUAUUGAUCGUAGCAUAAUGAAAAGUAUACUAUAACCUGCCCAGGAGUAUGAAGAAUAAUUGUACCAAGUUUCGUUAAAAUCCUUCUAGUAGUUUUUGUUUCUAUAACGAACAUACAGACAGACAGACAAAAAUUUUACUGAUUGCAUUUUUGGCAUCAGUAUCGAACACUAAUCACCCCCUGAUAGUUAUUUCUGAAAUAUAUUUCAUGUACAGAAUUGACCUCUCUACAGAUUUAUUACAAGUAUAGAUUACAAUGAGCCAAAACCAAAACUGUUUAAAUUAUAGUUUUAUUAAUAUUUACCUAUUAUUAAUUACUUUGAUCCACGAAUAGUUUAGUUUUUAAAAUGUGACAUAGUUUAAGAUUUCAUAAAUAUAUGUAUUACAUAUGUUAUAGGAUUAAGACUGGAAAAUAAAACAAUUGACAAAUACAUUAAUUUAUUGUAGUAUUACUAAAUAAAUAAGAAAUAAAAUGGGAAAAAUACAUGAACAAUUUCUCACUUUAAUUGUUGUUUUUUUCUACAGGAUAUGUUGAAAAUUACUUGAUCAAGUCAAUGUCAUUGAGUCAUUGGUUUAUGAUAGCAAAAAAACUUAUAUUGUUAUUUAAAUUAGGUUACACUUUUUAAUUACUAGAUAACUUUAUUUAAAUUCAGUACAUAAUAGUUUUAAAUAUGCACGACAGAAAAAACGAAACCUGUACAAACGUUUUAAAAAAUAGACAAAUAUGAAUAAUAACGCAGUACGAGUAGUAAUGUACUACUCGUGUAAGAGAAAGUCGCCCUUGGAUGUUAAGAGUUUCGAGGCCACCUUCAAUAUAUAUAAAGGUCUCUGAUUGUCCUCCAAAACAAGCAGUGAUAAUAAAAGUAUCCAAAUAGAAUGUGGCAUGGUGAGCUGGAUUAUUGAGUUUCGUAAAAUAUGGUUGAGCGCCGUGAUGGAUGUCUUAUCCAUCAUAUUCGUGAACGGAUGCUGCCUGUAGAGGCUGAUCUGUUCUGGACACU